rnacentral:misc_RNA from 1 species
UACGGAGGGUCGGAUCGUUAAUCGGACUUACUGGGCCUAAAGCGCGCGUAGGUGGCUCGAUAAGCCGGUUGCGACAGCCCCGGGCUCAACCUGGGAACGGCAUCCGGUACUGUCAGGCUAGAGUGCAGGAGAGGAAGGUAGAAUUCCCGGUGUAGCGGUGAAAUGCGUAGAGAUCGGGAGGAAUACCAGUGGCGAAGGCGGCCUUCUGGACUGACACUGACACUGAGGUGCGAAAGCGUGGGUAGCAAACAGG